GAUGAACGCUGGCGGCGUGCCUAAUACAUGCAAGUCGAGCGAACGGACGAGAAGCUUGCUUCUCUGAUGUUAGCGGCGGACGGGUGAGUAACACGUGGAUAACCUACCUAUAAGACUGGGAUAACUUCUGGAAACCGGAGCUAAUACCGGAUAAUAUUUUGAACCGCAUUGUUCAAAAGUGAAAGACGGUCUUGCUGUCACUUAUAGAUGUAUCCGCGCUGCAUUAGCUAGUUGGUAAGGUAACGGAUUACCAAGGCAACGAUGCAUAGCCGACCUGAGAGGGUGAUCGGCCACACUGGAACUGAGACACGGUCCAGACUCCUACGGGAGGCAGCAGUAGGGAAUCUUCCGCAAGGGGCGAAAGCCUGACGGAGCAACGCCGCGUGAGUGAUGAAGGUCUUCGGAUCGUAAAACUCUGUUAUUAGGGAAGAACAUAUGUGUAAGUAACUGUGCACAUCUUGACGGUACCUAAUCAGAAAGCCACGGCUAACUACGUG
rnacentral:rRNA from 1 species